CAUUCCAAGAGCAUUCAAUGAGGGAAAGAAUAGCCUCCUUAACAAAUUGCGCUGGGACAAUUGGACAUCCAGCUAAAACGAAGUUGGACCCUUACCAAACACUGUAUGCAGAAAUGAACUCUAAAUAUUCAUAGACCUCAAUGUAAGAGCUGAAACUAUUAAACUUCCUAUGAAGAAAACAUAGGAAGAGGACUUCAUGACAUUGUUUUAGGCAAUGGUUUCUUUCUUUCUUUUUUUUUUUCUUUUUUCUUUUUAGGGCCACACCCACGGCAUAUGGAGGUUCCCAGGCUAGGGGCUGAAAUGGAGCUGUAGCCACUGGCCUACACCACAGCCACAGUAAUGCCAGAUCUGAACCCUGUCUGCGACCUACACCACAGCUCACGGCAACGUUGGAUCCUUAAUCCACUGAGCAAGGCCAGGGAUCGAACCCUCAUCCUCAUGGAUACUAGUCAGGUUCAUUCCUGCUGAGCCACAGCAGGAACUCCUAAGCAAUGGUCUCGUAGUUAUGACACGAAAAAUCACAAGCAACAAAAGAAAAAUUAGAUCAAAAUUUAAAACGUUUGUGUUAUACAUGAUUUCAUCAAGCAAGGGAAAAGCAACUCAGAAUAGAAGGGAAUUUUAUCAAAUCAUAUAUCUUAUAAUAGACUUCUAUCUAGAACAGAUAACAAAUUCCUAGAACUCAAUAAGAGACAAACAACCCAUUUAAAAAUGGGCACAGGGAGAGUUCCCAUCAUGGCUCACCCAGAGGUUAACAAACCCUACUAGUAUUAUGAGGACAGGUUCAAUCCCUGUCCUUGCUCAGUGAGUCAAGGAUCCGGCAUUGCCAGGAGCUAUGGUGUAGGUCACAGAUGCGGCUCAGCCUGGUGUAGGCUGGCAGUAACCACUCCGAUUAGACCCUAGCCUGGGAACCUCCAAUGCCACAGGUGCAGCCCUCAAAAGACAAAAAAAAUUUUUAAUAAAAUAAAAAUAAAUACAUAAAUAAAAAUGGGCACAGGAGUUUGUUCCCUGGUGAUUCAGCGGGUUAUGUAUCCAGCAUUGUCACUGCUUCGGCUCUGGUUACUGCUGUGGCACUGAUUUGAUCCUGGCCCAGGAAACUCCAUGUGCUGCAAGUGCAGACCCAACCCCUUCCCCCAAAAGCACAGGAGUUGACUAGGUAUUUUUCCUAAGACAUAGUCGACAGGCCUAUGAAAAGAUAUUCAACGUCAUUAGUCAUUAGGGAACUGCCAUCAAAACUACAGUGACACCCCUUCACCCGUACUCAUUAGGGUGGAUAUAAUCAAAAGGUCAGAUAGAACAAAUGCUGGCAAGAAGGUGGGGAGACUGGUACCCUCAUAGAAGCUCUGGUAGAAAUAUGAAAUUAUGCCCAGGGCUGGGUUGGGGAUUAGGUGGGAGAAGAGUGAUUGGAUGCUGACCGAUAUAAAGUUUCUUUUGGGGAGCAGGGGGACAAAAAAUGUUCUAAAAUUAGAUUGCAGUCUUAGUUGCACAACUCUGAAUAUGCUAAAAACUGAACUUUAUACUUUAAAUGGUGAGUUAUAUGGUAAAGACCACACCACCCAAAAUAUACUACUUUGGCAUAAGGAUUAUUAUUUUUUUUUUAGGAUACAGGUCCAUAAUCUUUUAUUUUAUUUUUCGUUUAUUUUAUUGAAGUAUAGCUGAUUUGCAAUGUUGUGUUGAUGUUGUGCCAAUUUUCUGCUCUACAGUAAAGUGAUUCAGUAUUUAUAUUUUCUUUUUUUUUUUUUUUUUUUUUUUUGCUUUUUUAGGGCCGCAUCCUUGGCAUAUGGAGGUUCCUAGGUUAGGGGAUCUAACCAGAGCUACAGCCACUGACCCACACCACAACCACAGCAACAACAGAUCUGAGCCACAUCUGUGACCUACACCACAGCUCUCGCCGGAUCCUAACCCAAUGAGUGAGGCCAGGGAUCGAACCGCUGUUUUUUUUGUUUAUUUGUUUGUUUGUCUUUUAAAAGGACAUAAAUUUUUAAAGGCAUCCUGCUCCUCCCCUCUCUACUCAGAGGGACAGAAGUUAAUCACCAGGCAACACUAGACCCUGAUUAGCCCUGAGACACAGUAGAAAAAUCUGCAUUGCAAAUAGCACUCAUCUUCCAUCAAUUUCCCUCUGUAUUUACCUUCCCACAAUUUGCAACCCCUGGAAACCCCAAGUCCUUUCCUUUGUCUUGUCCCUUCGGUACAAAUUUACUGAUUAUUUCAUAGAGAUGCUCUGUAAGCCUGAGUUUACCCCUUGAAGUCACUUAUCUCUGAGUGCUCCUAUCUGUAUGAACUUCUCUUUUUUCUCCGUCUUUUGUGUGUCUAAUUUACAGAGUCCUAGCUCACGCCUAGAUGGGUAGAGGGAAAACAGUUUUUCCUCUCCUCAAAUAUAUGUGAAAUUUAUUGUCAGGGAGGGGAAACCCCCCCUCUGCCCUUCUCGAGUUCUUGUGCCUGGACUCAUCCUAAAGUUGACCCAAGGCAGACCAACAGGAGAAAAAGAAACAAAAUUUUAAUUCAUGCCCAUGGAUGUCUCAUAGAAAUGGAAUCUAGGAGUUCCCGUUGUGAGCUCAGCAGGUUAAGAACUUGACUAGUAUCCAUGAGGACUCAGCUUUGAUCCCUGGCCUUGCUCAAUGGGUUAAGAUCUGGCAUUGGCCUCUGUGCAAUCAGUCGAUCUGGUGUUGCUGGCUGUGUAUAGGCUGGCAGCUGUAGUUCCAAUUAGACCCCUAGCCUGUGAACUUCCAUAUGCCGUGGUGCAGCCCUAAAAAGCAAAAAAAAAAAAAA
rnacentral:lncRNA from 9 species